AGAUGUCAACAGUUGGUGGUAAGCACAAGCUUGUUGGAUUUGUUGACCUGGGAAAGGGCCACGAGCUAAUGAAUAUAUUGUCAGGUUAAGCUGAUGAACCAGAGCUUGCCACACAAGUGCUGCAAUUCAUUUAUGUCAGUGACAAUGGAUUCAGGUUCCCUAUUGCUCAAUAUCCAUCUGGGGUUUGCACACCAAGUAGCUUGUACUUCUGUUUUUGGGAAGGAGUCCUGAAGAUGUUGGAGAUUGGAUUUGAGGUGUACUGGUGUGUCCUUGAUGGUGCUGACUGGAGCAGGCAGUUUGUAAAGAUGCACUUUCAUGACAAAAACCCUGCUAAACA